CGGCGGCCGCUGCAGUGCGCCGCGUGGCUUUAGCAUGCAAAGACCGUCGUCGCCCGUGGCUCCGCCAGAACCGGCGCCGCCGCCGUCCGGACCGACGCCGACGCCGACGCCGCCCCCCGCAGUGACGUCGCUCGCCGCCCGCCUCACGUGGAAGACGGUGUGUGCUGUGCGGGUGACGACCCGGUCGCUGUCGUAGGUGCCGCCACACAAGAGCGAUUUACCAAGCAAUUUCAACCAGUGCUUCCAACGCCAAACUGUCGAUGAGGGUGACUAUGAAGAAACAGCUGACGAGCGCAGAACAGAUGUAAUAGCUGACACACUGUUUGCAGGUGAAUACUCCCUUCAACGCGCCUUGAUCAUGGUUUAUCAGCUGUGAAGAACCAAGUAUGUUACCAGGCAUUGUUUCUGCGUAGCUUCCGUGCUGAAGCACAGUGAAGGAAGAGUGUUAACCGUAGACUGCAAACAAUCUACUGCAACUUUUAAAUUCUCGUCUCAUUUGUAAUUAUUGUUUGCCUUCUAUACCGACAGAAAUGUUUACAAAGCUUCCGGUAUGAGUAAAAUAAAUGCUGAUACACUA